rnacentral:rRNA from 1 species
GGGAAUAACCUCGGGAAACUGAGGAUAAUGCCCGAUAGAGCACCGUGCCUGGAACGGCCGGUGCUCCAAACGAAUGUCGCCGCAGGAUGGGACUGCGUCCUAUCAGUUUGUUGGUGAGGUAAUGGCCCACCAAGACUAUUACAGGUACGGGCUCUGAGAGGAGUAGCCCGGAGAUGGGUACUGAGACACGGACCCAGGCCCUAUGGGGCGCAGCAGGCGAGAAAACUUUGCAAUGUGCGAAAGCACGACAAGGUUAAUCCGAGUGGUUCCUGCUAAAGGAACCUUUUGCCAGUCCUAGAAACACUGGUGAAUAAGGGGUGGGCAAGUUCUGGUGUCAGCCGCCGCGGUAAAACCAGCACCUCAAGUGGUCAGGAUGAUUAUUGGGCCUAAAGCAUCCGUAGCCUGCCCUGUUAGUUUUCGGUUAAAUCUGUGCGCUCAACGUACAGGCUGCCGGGAAUACUGCAGGGCUAGGGAGUGGGAGAGGUAGACGGUACUUGGUAGGAAGGGGUAAAAUCCUUUGAUCUAUUGAUGACCACCUGUGGCGAAGGCGGUCUACCAGAACACGUCCGACGGUGAGGGAUGAAAGCUGGGGGAGCAAACCGGAUUAGAUACCCGGGUAGUCC